AACGAACGCUAGCGGUGCGUUUUAAGCAUGCAAGUCGAACGGUAUAAGGCGCUUGCGCCUUAGAGAGUGGCGGACGGGUGAGUAACACGUAAAUGAUCUGCCCUGUAGUUGGGGAUAGCUCAUGGAAACAUGGGGUAAUACCGGAUGAGGUCCCGGGCGUAGAGGUUUGGGAAGAAAGGAGCCAAGGCUCCGCUAUAGGAUGAGUUUGCGGUUCAUUAGUUAGUUGGUGGGGUAAAGGCCUACCAAGGCGACGAUGAAUAGCCGGCCUGAGAGGGUGAACGGCCACACUGGAACUGAGACACGGUCCAGACUCCUACGGGAGGCAGCAGCUAAGAAUCUUCCGCAAUGGGCGAAAGCCUGACGGAGCGACACCGCGUGUAUGAUGAAGGCCGUGAGGUUGUAAAAUACUUUUCUCAUUGAAGAAUAAGUCCGGGAGGGAAUGCCCGGGUGAUGACGUUAGGUGAGGAAUAAGCAACGGCUAAUUACGUGCCAGCAGCCGCGGUAACACGUAAGUUGCGAGCGUUGUUCGGAUUUAUUGGGCGUAAAGGGCGCGUAGGCGGUUUAUCAAGCUUGAUGUGAAAACCACCAGCUUAACUGGUGAUGUGCGUUGAGAACUGAUAGACUAGAGUAUAAGAGGGGGAGCUGGAAUUCCAGGUGUAGGGGUGAAAUCUGUAGAUAUCUGGAAGAACACCGGUGGCGAAGGCGAGCUCCUGGCAGUAUACUGACGCUGAGGCGCGAAAGCGUGGGGAGCGAACAGGAUUAGAUACCCUGGUAGUCCACGCUGUAAACGAUGUGCACUAGGUGUCGGGGAGUUAUUUCCGGUGCCGAAGCUAACGCGAUAAGUGCACCGCCUGGGGAGUAUGCCCGCAAGGGUGAAACUCAAAGGAAUUGACGGGGGCCCGCACAAGCGGUGGAGCAUGUGGUUUAAUUCGAUGAUACGCGAGGAACCUUACCAGGGUUUGACAUAUAGCAGGCGGCUGUAGAGAUACGGUUUCCCUUAGGGGCUGCUAUACAGGUGCUGCAUGGCUGUCGUCAGCUCGUGCUGUGAAGUGUUGGGUUAAGUCCCGCAACGAGCGCAACCCCUUUCAUCUGUUGCCAGCAUUUAAGGUGGGGACUCAGAUGAUACUGCCGGUGACAAACCGGAGGAAGGUGGGGACGACGUCAAGUCAUCAUGGCCCUUAUGUCCUGGGCUACACACGUGCUACAAUGGCCGGUACAGAGUGAAGCGAAGCUGCGAAGCGGAGCAAAACGCUAUAAAGCCGGUCUCAGUACGGAUUGGAGUCUGAAACCCGACUUCAUGAAGUUGGAAUCGCUAGUAAUCGCAGAUCAGCACGCUGCGGUGAAUACGUUCCCGGGUCUUGUACACACCGCCCGUCACACCAUGGGAGUUGGUUUUACCUUAAGCCGGUGGGCUAACCGCAAGGAGGCAGCCGAUCACGGUAGGAUCAGCGACUGGGGUG
rnacentral:rRNA from 1 species